rnacentral:rRNA from 1 species
CGUCGCGCCGGGGCGCUACUGCACGCUGAGGCGCAGCGCCGCCGCGGUGGCGAACGGGCUUAACGUCGCGCUGCCCGCCAGCAGCGCCCCCAGCACCGCCAGAUAGCCGUCAACGGGUAA